rnacentral:rRNA from 1 species
UACGUAGGGGGCAAGCGUUGUCCGGAAUCAUUGGGCGUAAAGAGCGUGUAGGCGGCUUGGUAAGUCCGCUGUGAAAGUCCAGGGCUCAACCCUGGAAUGCCGGUGGAAACUGUCAAGCUUGAGUCCGGAAGAGGCGAGUGGAAUUCCUGGUGUAGCGGUGAAAUGCGCAGAUAAUCAGGAGGAACACCAAUGGCGAAGGCAGCUCGCUGGGACGGUACUGACGCUGAGACGCGAAAGCGUGGGGAGCAAACAGG